CAGGGUCUGACGACUGCCCAAACCAAACCGUGAACCAAAAUUCAAACCAUAUGUCUUGGCGGGUCGCUCGCUGGGGGAGCCCCGGGCCGCGUUAGAUGCGGUGGCCCGCCAAAGGCAUGAACCAAAAAUACUCUGAGCAAACUCUGAGAAAUACCAUCUCCCGUAAGGGAAGAAAAAUGUCA
rnacentral:misc_RNA from 1 species